rnacentral:misc_RNA from 1 species
CCGAGUUUACAACUCCCAAACCCCUGUGAACAUACCUAUACGUUGCCUCGGCGGAUCAGCCCGCGCCCUGUAAAGCGGGACGGCCCGCCGCAGGACCCAUAAACCCUGAAUUUUUAUUGUAACUUCUGAGUUUAAAAAACAAAUAAAUCA